rnacentral:rRNA from 1 species
CCUACGGGACGCAGCAGUGAGGAAUAUUGGUCAAUGGGCGCGAGCCUGAACCAGCCAAGUAGCGUGAAGGAUGACUGCCCUACGGGUUGUAAACUUCUUUUAUAAAGGAAUAAAGUGAGGCACGUGUGCCUUUUUGUAUGUACUUUAUGAAUAAGGAUCGGCUAACUCCGUGCCAGCAGCCGCGGUAAUACGGAGGGUGCGAGCGUUAAUCGGAAUUACUGGGCGUAAAGCGCUCGUAGGCGGUAUGUCAAGUCAAGGGUGAAAUCCCCGCGCUCAACGUGGGAACUGCCUUUGAAACUGGCAAA